rnacentral:rRNA from 1 species
GAUUCUGGCUCAGAACGAACGCUGGCGGCGCGUCUUAAGCAUGCAAGCCGAACGGCAAGAGGUAGCAAUACCUCCUAGAGUGGCGGACUGGUGAGUAACACGUGGGUGACAUACCCUUCAGAUGGGGAUAGCUAUUAGAAAUAGUAGAUAAUACCGAAUACGAGCACAGGGGUUAGAGAUCUGUGAGGAAAGGAGCUAAGGCUCCGCUGAAGGAAUGGCCUGCGGCCCAUUAGCUAGUUGGUGAGGUAAGAGCCCACCAAGGCGAUGAUGGGUAUCCGGCCUUAGAGGGUGAACGGACACAUUGGGACUGAGAUACGGCCCAGACUCCUACGGGAGGCAGCAGCUAAGAAUAUUCCGCAAUGGACGAAAGUCUGACGGAGCGACGCCGCGUGGAUGAAGAAGGCCGGAAGGUUGUAAAAUCCUUUUGAAACUGAAGAAUAAGCGUUGUAGGGAAUGACAGCGUGGUGACAGUUAGGUUUUGAAUAAGCAACGGCUAAUUACGUGCCAGCAGCCGC